rnacentral:rRNA from 1 species
AUGGAGCAGCAUUUCGCCGUCACCUUCCCGCCGGGAUCCUACUACCAGCACCACCGCUACUCCGCCGCCGCCGCCGCACCGUCUUCCUACUACGACAUGAGCGACAUGGACGACAUGGCCUUCCUCGGCACCCUCUUGGAGUCCACGGAUCAUGCCUCCUGCUCUGACCCCUCUCUCUCUUCAAGCUCGUCCUCCUCCGACAUGACGGCCGUGGGGGCUGCCGCACCACAUGUGCCCGUGGGCAGCAGCUCGCCGAAGGGCCGCGGUCACCAAGCCCCGGCAGCCAUGCCCAUUAUGGCCAAGGACUUCAUUGGGGUGCGCACGCGCCCGUGGGGCAAGUUCGCGGCCGAGAUCCGGGACUCGACGCGGAACGGCGCCCGCGUGUGGCUCGGCACCUUCGGCAGCCCGGAGGCGGCCGCCAUGGCCUACGACCAGGCUGCCUUCUCCGCGCGCGGUGAGGCCGCCGUGCUCAACUUCCCCGUCGAGCGCGUCCGGGAGUCGCUCCGCGCGCUUGCGCUCGGCGCCGUCGUGGGCUCGCCCGUGCUCGCGCUCAAGCGCCGCCACCGCACACGCAGGCGGUCGCCCAACAAGAGGCCCGUGAAGCAGCAGCGCCGGGUUGCCGCCGUGCAGGAGGCAUCGCGGUCUGCCACGACCGGCGCGGUGGUGCUGGAGGACCUCGGCGCCGAGUAUCUGGAGGAGCUCCUCCGGGUGUCCGAGCCGCCCAUGGAUCAUUUCAUCCACUCAACGGCGACGGCGUCGUCCUCACACUGCAAGCUUGUAUGCUUGGAUUAG